UUUUUUAUUUAUCAUUUUGCAUAAAUUUGUGUCUUUUGCAGGUUAAAUGUAGGGUUGCAGCAUGCUAUUGAUGACAGUGAGCACAAGACAGCACUGUACAUGCAGGCCAAGGCCGACAAACGGCUAAACCUGACCUUUCCUCCUGUCAAGUCACAAGGGACGAAUGCUGCCGUAAAUCAAGACAGACUGGGUUAUUCAUUUAGUGGCUGGUCUGAUAGCCCUUCAGCAGGAGUGGAGAAUCUUCGUCACAAUCAUAACAUGAGCAUGAAUCCCUUUGGAUACAACAGACGAACCUUAGCAUUCCAACCAACUUCUCUAAACUAUGUUGUGGAGUGGCCUGAGACCUGGCCACUGAAGAUCAUGAGUCUUGGCAAAGGAACUGCAGUGCCCCAUAAGAAGAAAACAAAAACCAAGAGUCUUGGCAAAGGAACUGUAGUGCCCCAUAAGAAGAAAACCAAGACCAAACCCAAAGUAAAUCGCAAAGUACAUUUUGAGAAAUCUCCAGCUCCUCCUACAUCACCUCUUGGAGAAUCCAGAAAUAUAAAAAAACAAGCACCUACUGAAGCUGUAGCAUAUGACCAGUCUAAACAGGUUUUAUGUCAAAUGAAAAAUCCUGCAGCAACAGGAACAGCCCUCCCACACUCACCCAUCAUUGAAGAACCCAUGGAUAAAAGAGAAGUCGAGGAAUCCCCUUUGACGGGGCAAGCUUUAGAAGGAAAUGCUAGCAGUAACAUACUUGACAUUGAAGAAAGACGCAGUUCAGAAAUUCCAGUUGAGUACUCUGAGACAAGCUCCUUAUCAGAAAGUACUUAUGUGGACUCCUUUCAGGACAAGCUGAAGACAAUUGAGGUACCAGAUGAUACAGGGAAACAACAAGAUGACAGCACGACUAGGCUCUCUAGUGUUCCCCCCUGCACCCCCACCCCUGUCCCCAUCAAAACAGAAGGCACAGACGUGGACAAUGAACCCGAGAGUGGUGUGGAUGAGGGUGGGGUGGGAGAGGAAGAUUCACAAAGUCUAUUGAUGGAUGUCGUGUCCCAGAUAGCUUCAGAUCCGGCAGCAGAUUAUAUGAAGGACAUUUGACAGUUGCAGCUACGCGACCUAAGAAAGGCAUGCCUGGAAUGCAUCCGCUGGCCAGAAACAAAGCAGGCACCUCGUGUGGAAAGUCAGACCUCUACUGAAAGUAUUUGAAUAGUUUUAUUUUAUCAUCAACCUAUUCCGGCAAAUUGAUUUCUAAGUCGAUCUUGAAACUAAUAACUUCAAGCUUGAGUUUACCUGGAUUGAUAAUAAUCUUUGUUCAGGCCGUGAUUGUUCGCUCUUCUUAUUUCAGAACUGCAACGUUGCCGUAAAAUCAGUUUAAGUUUUCUUUUUUUCAUUUGCUCAGGAUCGAAUAGGGUAUUAAAAAGCCGUAGAGUGAAUGUGCAUGAAGGAUUUUGUCGUGUGCCCGAGCAUUUUAUGAUUGUUAACCAAUCAGCAACGUCUUUCUCGAUUGUCCAGUCACAGCCCUGGUUGAAGCGCGGCUUACACUGAACAUAAACUUCUUAAAGCCUUGUAAAUGGUAUCAAACUUUUAAGCCAACUUUAACGCAGCAAAGUAGAGCGUAAGAUUUAGGGAAAAAGCUUGAGAGUUUAAUUUAGAAGCAACCGGCUUUGGUAUUGAAAUAAGAGCGGCGAGCAAUUAUAAAGUUUUAAAUUUAUUAGUGUUAUCUUUGUGUUGGUACAUUUACUCCUUUUCUUUGACCAAUCAAAGGUCACGUUUUUAAGACAAGUCAAGAGUUUUAAAUGCACGUGCCGUUGUUUGCUCUGUGAUUGGUUAAGAAGUUCUGAAAACCAACAAAAAGCCGUCCAGUAUCAAUCAAAACUGCUAGCCAAUGGCAACGCUACAAUAUGUUACCCUGUUCGAAAAUGUUUUGAAACGAUAUCAUUUACUGAUGAAUUUAUUUUAUAUAUUUUAAAGAUAAUACCGAACGAAAGUUACCAAAGAGUGUUUUAUAACAAAAAAUAUAUUUACAUGAAAAAUCUAUAGAAACCCACAAUUUCAGACUCAAAACGAUGAUAUUUACGUUUAUAUGCGAUUAACUUGGUUUAACGGAUUUUUUUUUUGAAAAGAUGAACGAGGAUUAAAACGCAAUCAGACGAAGAAAUUUUCGUAAACAGUUUGCGGUGUGUUCUUUUUUGAUAUUGGUGCCAAAAAAGUGCCUUGCAAAACGCGAGGGAUAAGUUAUUACUGCUGCAGUAAAAAACCCACGUAUAAGAACCUAGGUUUCUUCAAGUUAGCCUCCAUAGGUUCUUAUAUAAAUGGUGCUUACUGUGAAAUUAGGUUACCUAGGUUCUUAAUCAGGUUCUUAAUUUUUGUUUUAAAAAAACAACUUGUACUCAUGGGUGUGACGUUUAUAUUGAAUCAUUCACAGUGCAGUAAUAUUUAGGUCUUAUAACACUGCCAGUGCUCUGGCUAGUUUUUGUUACCUUUUUGUGUCGCAUGUAUUGUACUGUAUUAUA